AGAGUUUGAUCAUGGCUCAGAGCGAACGCUGGCGGCGUGCUUAACACAUGCAAGUCGAACGAGUGUAGCAAUACAUUCGUGGCGAACGGGUGCGUAACACGUGGAUAACCUUCCUUGAGGUGGGGAAUAACCCCGCGAAAGCGGGGCUAAUACCGCAUAACAAAGCGAUGGCACAUGCUGUUGCUUUCAAAGGAGCAAUUCGCCACAAGAGGGAUCCGCGGCCGAUUAGCUAGUUGGUGAGGUAACGGCUCACCAAGGCUAUGAUCGGUAGCCGGACUGAGAGGUUGGCCGGCCACACUGGAACUGAGACACGGUCCAGACUCCUACGGGAGGCAGCAGUGGGGAAUCUUGCACAAUGGGCGAAAGCCUGAUGCAGCAACGCCGCGUGGGGGAUGAAGCUUCUCGGAGUGUAACCCCUUUCGACCCGGACGAAUGCCCGCAAGGGUUUGACGGUACGGGUAUAAGAAGCCCCGGCUAACUACGUGCCAGCAGCCGCGGUAAUAC
rnacentral:rRNA from 1 species